GUGGGUAACCUGCCUGUAAGACUGGGAUAACUCCGGGAAACCGGGGCUAAUACCGGAUGCUUGAUUGAACCGCAUGGUUCAAUCAUAAAAGGUGGCUUUCAGCUACCACUUGCAGAUGGACCCGCGGCGCAUUAGCUAGUUGGUGAGGUAACGGCUCACCAAGGCGACGAUGCGUAGCCGACCUGAGAGGGUGAUCGGCCACACUGGGACUGAGACACGGCCCAGACUCCUACGGGAGGCAGCAGUAGGGAAUCUUCCGCAAUGGACGAAAGUCUGACGGAGCAACGCCGCGUGAGUGAUGAAGGUUUUCGGAUCGUAAAACUCUGUUGUUAGGGAAGAACAAGUACCGUUCGAAUAGGGCGGUACCUUGACGGUACCUAACCAGAAAGCCACGGCUAACUACGUGCCAGCAGCCGCGGUAAUACGUAGGUGGCAAGCGUUGUCCGGAAUUAUUGGGCGUAAAGCGCGCGCAGGCGGUUUCUUAAGUCUGAUGUGAAAGCCCCCGGCUCAACCGGGGAGGGUCAUUGGAAACUGGGG
rnacentral:rRNA from 1 species